GUUUUUUGAGCUUAGAGCAGAGUUUCUCAAGAGCUGCAAUACUGGCAUUUGAGUCAAGUCGUUCUUUAUUGUUGGUGGUGGAGGGGGCACCCUGUAUAUUGUAGGACGUUGGGCAGCAUCUCUGACUUCUACCUACUAGAUGCCAGUAUCUCAGUUUUCUUAAAAGACUUUUUUUUUUUUUUUUUUUUUUUUGAGAUGGAGUCUUGCUGUGUUGCCUAGGCUGGAGUGCAGUGGCACCAUGUCGACUCACUGCAACCUCCGCCUCCCCGGUUCAAGCGAUUCUCCUGCCUCAGCCUCCUGAGUAGCUGGGAUUACAGGUGAGCACCACCAUGCCCAGCUAAUCGUAAAAGACUUUUCAUAAAACUUCAGAACUCCUUAAAAACUAGUGAAUAGCCAAGGUGAAGAAAGCCCUCAGGCUUCUGACUUUAGACCCCAAUCCCUGGGACUCCCACACUCAGCAAAGAAAGCUGGGUGCCUGCACCCUGGAUCUCUGAGCAAACCUGUCUUAUGGCUGUGGGCAACUCAGGAACAUGAAUUAGCACGAGAAUCUGGAGUUUUUCUUUCCUUUUCUGGUAAGACACUUGUGGUUUUUUUUUUUCAAAUUCCAAUUGGAAAUUUGCUUUACAUGAACAACAAACAAACUUGAUACUCUUUUAGUGGAGGCAUUAUUUGUUCCUUUAUUUUUUGCACUUAAACAGACAGGCAGUAUGCUUUCUCUGUGUGGAGACCAAGGUCUGUUAAAGGGCUGCUUUUCACGGAAGCUUCACUAAUUUAUACUCAUGGCUGACAUACUCACCUUGUGGGGCUGACACACCGAACCUAACUGAAUAUUGUCCCAUUAACAAAACUAAUGUAUUACGUGUAAGGCACCAGUAAUUAACCUUUAAACUUCGGUUUUGAACAACUCUCAUUUUUAACCUUUAUUUAAGUGUCAUAGUUGUCUUACCUCCUCUUGGCAUUUUUUUUUUAAAGCUCUUCCUAGAUUAAUUGCAUGUUGUAACUCCCUUUUUCCAUUCAAGACAGUUUUGUUUUACGUGCGCUUAUUAUGGUACUUUUAUAAUUGCUUUUUGGUUCUCUGGGCCAUUCUUUUGACAUGCCUCCUUUCUUGGAUCUGUACUAUGAUAGGUGGCUGGGCAUGGUGGCUCAUGCCUGUAAUCCCAGCACUUUGGGAGGCUGAGGCAGGCAGAUCACUUGAGACCAGGAGUUCAAGACCAGCCUCGCCAGUGUGGCGAAACCCCAUCUCUACUAAAAAUACAAAAAUUAGCUGGGCUAGGUGGCGUGCACCUGUAAUCCCAACUAUUCAGGAGGCUGAGCCAGGAGAAUCGCUUGACCUGGGGAGGCAGAGGUUGCAGUGAGCCGAGAUCUAUCCCCUGCACUCCAUCCUGGGCAACAGAUUGUGACUCUGUCUCAAAAAACAGUAAUAAUAAAAUACACUAUGGAAGGUGUUGGUCUGUCCAUGUGACCACAUGCAAUGAGGUGCUUUGUGCGUUUGCCUUGUGUGAGCAGCGAUGGAAUGAUCCUAGCGGGGCCUUGGAGGAACUGGAAUGUUCUUUGCCUAGUUGCACCUGCGUCAGCUCUGUAGGCCCAGCCCUGGGGCCCAGCAGCUGCUCCCCUGGUUUGCUUUCCUCCCAGGUUGCCUCAUGCUGCUGCUGAGCAACCUUCACCUGAUGGGCGGUGCCACAGCAGGGUCAGUGAAGGGUGCCCCUUCCUUCUAGUGACCUGGGCUGCCCUAGCCCUGGCCCUUCAGUAGCCAUUCCAAACCUUUCUGGUCCCCCCAAAUCCAGGACUUUAUCCCCUUCACCCUCAGAGGAUGACCUUAUAUUCUAUUUUGUGGAGAAAAUGGAGACUGUCCAUCAAAACCCCUUAACUCCCGUCCUGCGUGCAUUCCUAAGUUCCUACAUUAACCCCCGUGUCACUAGCUAACGAUCCUUUCUGUCUCAGGAAGCAGUGUUCUUCCUCGCGCACAGGGCUCUGCGUUUGUCUAAGGCAGAGAGACCUGGGCCCUGAUCCCAUUCUCUUUCCUCAACUCCAGGAACUUGCUUCCUGCAUUCAUUUUCUUUUUUCCAAUGAUUCCUCCUUCUCAGCACAUAAAAGUGACCAACCCCUCGCCCCACCCCCGCUGCACAAAAAACAAAUAGAAAAUGGAAACCAGUCCAACCAGGGUGAACCUCCACUGACUGUGUGCCCUUGUUGAGCUACUGCUCAUAGGGGAGCUUCUAGAAAGGAAGGACUUAUUGUCUUAGUUACUUGAUCCACUUCCUUACCUCCUGUUCAUGCAACUUUGCUUGUUUUGCUUCUACUAAAAUGGUUCUAGGUGCUGUGUGGACAGGUGAUACAAAAGCCUGACUCACACGGUUGACAUUCAUUCAUUCCAUUUUCAUUUCUCUUUGAGUGAUCCUGACAAGCAGAGGGUCUCAGGUGGAUAUUACUGUGUCUUUGAGACCUCUCUAAUCCUUAUCUAUCUCUCAUUUUAAUACAGAGAGUUUCAUACGCAGACCUUAAGUAGACAUAGUAUCCAGCUAAAAGGGUCUCACUCUGUCACCCAGGCUGGAGUGCAGUGGCGCAGUCAUGGCUCCCUGUAACCUCAACCUCUCAGACUCCAGCAAUCCUCCUGCGACAGGGAGGCAGUCAAUGGUGAAUGCUGGCCUCGCUGAUUACUCACCUGGAGACCUUUCUGAGGAUCAGUUUUCUCAUCUAGAAAAUGGGACAACUGCCAGACCACUGAAGAAAAUACAGAAAACAGCCCCACACAUCAGCAUGUUUGGUUGCUGCCAGUCUACUUGGAUCUGAGUAUUUUUUCUUGCCAUGAAUGUGACGUGAUUAUCUUCUCCUACAUCACACUGAAGUUUUAUGAAUGAUGCUUUGAAGUGGGAAGGGCCAGAGAGUUAAUAUUUUCGGCUUCUUGGGCCAGCUGGUCUCGGUGGCAGCUACUGAGCUCUGCCACUGCAGCAGAGAACGGGCACAGGCGAUAUGGAAAUGAUAGGCGCGGCUGUGUUCCAAUAAAACUUUAUUUACAAAAAUGGGCAGUAGACCAGAUUUGGUCUGUGUCUUAGAGUUUGCUGACCCUGCUUUAAAGAAACAUCAAAGAGAUUCUACCAGCUGAUUUCCUUGCUCCCAAAAUUCUUGUAAGGACUAUGGCUGAGUUAGGAAGUUAUGUACUUUAAUAGCUAAUUUCAGGCCUGGCGUGGUGGCUCACGCCUGUAAUCCCAGCACUUCGGGAGGCUGAGGUGGGUGGAUCACUUGAGGUCAGGAGUUUCAGACCAGCCUGGCCAACAUGGCGAAACCCUGUCUCUACUAAAAAUACAAAAAAAUUAGCUGGGCGUG
rnacentral:lncRNA from 10 species